rnacentral:tRNA from 1 species
GUCAUUGUGGUCUAGCAGUUAGAACGCUGGCCUUGUAAUCCUGGGGUCUCGGGUUCGAUUCCCGGCGGUGCCC